UACGUAGGGGGCAAGCGUUGUCCGGAGUCAUUGGGCGUAAAGCGCGUGUAGGCGGUCCGAUAAGUCGGUUGUGAAAGUCCAGGGCUCAACCCUGGGAUGCCGACCGAUACUGUCGGACUAGAGUUCGGAAGAGGCGAGUGGAAUUCCCGGUGUAGCGGUGAAAUGCGCAGAUAUCGGGAGGAACACCAAUGGCGAAGGCAGCUCGCUGGGACGUUACUGACGCUGAGGAGCGAAAGCGUGGGGAGCGAACAGG
rnacentral:rRNA from 1 species